UAGAGAUGCAAUGUGAACAUUGCAGUCUCUUUGGAACUGCAAUGUUUUACAUUGCAGCACUA
rnacentral:miRNA from 1 species